rnacentral:rRNA from 1 species
AGCGAACGCUGGCGGCAGGCUUAACACAUGCAAGUCGAGCGGGCACUUCGGUGUCAGCGGCAGACGGGUGAGUAACACGUGGGAACGUACCCUUUGGUUCGGAAUGACGCUGGGAAACUAGCGCUAAUACCGGAUACGCCCUUUUGGGGAAAGGCUUGCUGCCGAAGGAUCGGCCCGCGUCUGAUUAGCUAGUUGGUGGGGUAAUGGCCUACCAAGGCGACGAUCAGUAGCUGGUCUGAGAGGAUAAUCAGCCACACUGGGACUGAGACACGGCCCAGACUCCUACGGGAGGCAGCAGUGGGGAAUAUUGGACAAUGGGCGCAAGCCUGAUCCAGCCAUGCCGCGUGAGUGAUGAAGGCCUUAGGGUUGUAAAGCUCUUUUGUCCGGGACGAUAAUGACGGUACCGGAAGAAUAAGCCCCGGCUAACUUCGUG